AUUGAACGCUGGCGGCAGGCCUAACACAUGCAAGUCGAGCGGAUGAAGGGAGCUUGCUCCUGGAUUCAGCGGCGGACGGGUGAGUAAUGCCUAGGAAUCUGCCUGGUAGUGGGGGAUAACGUCCGGAAACGGGCGCUAAUACCGCAUACGUCCUGAGGGAGAAAGUGGGGGAUCUUCGGACCUCACGCUAUCAGAUGAGCCUAGGUCGGAUUAGCUAGUUGGUGGGGUAAAGGCCUACCAAGGCGACGAUCCGUAACUGGUCUGAGAGGAUGAUCAGUCAGACUGGAACUGAGACACGGUCCAGACUCCUACGGGAGGCAGCAGUGGGGAAUAUUGGACGAUGGGCGAAAGCCUGAUCCAGCCAUGCCGCGUGUGUGAAGAAGGUCUUCGGAUUGUAAAGCACUUUAAGUUGGGAGGAAGGGAAGUAAGUUAAUACCUUGCUGUUUUGACGUUACCAACAGAAUAAGCACCGGCUAACUUCGUG
rnacentral:rRNA from 1 species